AUUGAACGCUGGCGGCAGGCCUAACACAUGCAAGUCGAGCGAGCGGCGGACGGGUGAGUAAUGUCUGGGAAACUGCCUGAUGGAGGGGGAUAACUACUGGAAACGGUAGCUAAUACCGCAUACCAUCAGAUGUGCCCAGAUGGGAUUAGCUAGUAGGUGGGGUAACGGCUCACCUAGGCGACGAUCCCUAGCUGGUCUGAGAGUAUGACCGGACAAACUGGCACUGAGACGCGGUCCAGACUGCUACGGGAGGGCGGAGUGGCGAAUAUGGCACAAUGGGCGCAAGCCUGAGGCAGGCAUGCAGCGUGGAUGAAGAAGGCCGUCGGGUUGUAACGUACUUUCCGCGGGGAGUCGUUAAGCGCAGAAGAAGCGCCGGCUAACUCCGUGCCAGCAGCCGCGGUAAUUC
rnacentral:rRNA from 1 species